rnacentral:misc_RNA from 1 species
CUUCUUUUUCUCUUCUUCAUGCUUCCAGUCAAAGACUUAAAAUUAUUACUCGCAUUGAUCUUGUCAGCGUCCCCUAACACAACAGAUUUCUUCAGAUUAUCACCAUCUUCUUCAACUUCAUUUUCUUUGCUAUUGUGACCCAAAUCAGAGCUUUUGCUUUUAUGUUUUGAUGUGAAGCUUAUACUCUUUCUCAUGCAUGAAACCAACAAAUCAGACUCGGUGCUUUCAACCGAAAGUUUUGGGAUAGACUUCUUGCCUUUUGAAUCAGGGCUUGAAUCAUCCCCUGAAGCACUUAGUAGAGAAAUUAAACUGCUUGAGGACAGUCUUGCGCUAUGAGAAGAUGAUGAUCUCCGUCGCUUAGGUACUGUAACAGAUGCUACAUCAGUAGCCUUUGUUUUUUUAGCUUUCUGAUGCUCCGGUUCUGACUUUAUU